AUACCUUCCUGGCGUCGUGAACGUGAUACCGUGAUCAUGCAGGCGGUUCCCCCGGGGUGCGGCUGCUUCAUUGCACUGCGGAGUGGUUGAGCCUUGCGAUUAUUUUUAUAUUUUAUAAGUUUCACUUUUACCGUGUGUGACUUGCACACACACACACAUUUUUUUUCCUUUGGUUCGUUCGGUGAGCGAUCCUACGGA
rnacentral:snRNA from 9 species